GUUGUUCGGAAUUACUGGGCGUAAAGGGCGCGUAGGCUGUGCUGUAAGUCAGGCGUGAAAGCCCCGGGCUCAACCUGGGAAUUGCGCUUGAUACUGCGGCGCUGGAAGGUGGGAGAGGAUGGCGGAAUUCCCAGUGUAGAGGUGAAAUUCGUAGAUAUUGGGAAGAACACCGGUGGCGAAGGCGGCCAUCUGGCCCACAUUUGACGCUGAGGCGCGAAAGCGUGGGGAGCAAACAGG
rnacentral:rRNA from 1 species